rnacentral:lncRNA from 1 species
UUUGCCAUCAUGAUUCUCCAUUAUGAUAUUGAAAUUUUGAUAUUCUCCAUUAUCUCCACAUAAGAUAACACAGUCACAUACAUUAUGUUGUAAAUAUUUAGCAAAAUCUUGCUGUAAUUUAUGCAAAAUAACACAAACAUAUUACAUGUAUUAAUAAAUAUGAAAAAUAUAACAUAAAGAUAUUGUUAUAAUUCGUAGUAAUUAGAAAACAUAUAUAACCAUUUUGUUCUUCUUCAAGUCUCUGCCCCAAAGUUUGAUAUCAAAGUAUUUGGAUUCAUUUUGCCUGAAGCAUCUUGUGUGAAAAGGUGGUAGUUGUCGGAAACAAUUAACAACAUGAAACCCCACUAC